rnacentral:rRNA from 1 species
AUUGAACGCUGGCGGCAUGCUUUACACGUGCAAGUCGAACGGCAGCGCGGGCUUCGGCCUGGCGGCGAGUGGCGAACGGGUGAGUAAUACAUCGGAACGUGCCCAGUAGUGGGGGAUAGCUCGGCGAAAGCCGGAUUAAUACCGCAUACGACCUGAGGGUGAAAGCGGGGGAUCUUCGGACCUCGCGCUAUUGGAGCGGCCGAUGGCAGAUUAGCUAGUUGGUGGGGUAAAGGCCUACCAAGGCGACGAUCUGUAGCUGGUCUGAGAGGACGACCAGCCACACUGGGACUGAGACACGGCCCAGACUCCUACGGGAGGCAGCAGUGGGGAAUUUUGGACAAUGGGCGAAAGCCUGAUCCAGCAAUGCCGCGUGUGUGAUGAAGGCCUUCGGAUUGUAAAGCACUUUUGGCGGGAACGAAAAGGACUGUGCCAAUACCACGGUUCGAUGACGGUACCCGCAGAAUAAGCACCGGCUAACUACGUG